ensembl:lncRNA
GAAUUGAAUUGCUUCAGUUGGGGUGAUAAAAAAUGCUCUUCCUUGCUUCUUCAAAUUCCCCUCAGCAUGGUGGUCCGUCUGUAACUGGACGCUGCUAGUGCAGAUACUUUCAAAGACAGAAAGGUUUGAACUUGUCUCCUGUGCUUUGUGUUAGCAGGGUUUUAGCUGGAAAGCAAGAGGAGGAUGAGGCUUCUUUUCAACUAAAAGAAUGUCCUCGUUGUUCUUGGGAAGUGAGAGACCUACAUGCAAGGACAGUUAAGGCUUAGCCAUGCAUGGACGUAAACUUUCCAUUCAGCUCCAAGGGGUCUUCUCUUUCCAUUCCUGCCCUAGAGAUUUGUUUCUGGUUCACACAGCACCCACUCUGGAAGCCUCAGGUGGACGGAUUUGUCUUACAUUUCAGGCUGAAUCCUGGAUUCCAUCUCACUACAUGGCAAUAAGGGGGUUGCACUCACCUUGCAGAAGCCAUUUAAAAACUGAGUCAGGACAUAUGCUGAACCAGAAGUCACAGCAUUCCAGACAUCUUUUCUGGAGAAGGCCAGGAACCUCCUUCCUCAGUAUGGGAAGAAUGUCAAUAGAUGUCAAUGGCAUGCAUGGCUUUAUCACUGAAGAAGUUAACACUUUGGGCUGAAUGCAAAAAGCAGUUAGCUCAGCUGCACCCUCUUGGGAGUAUGAGGGUAGAUAAUAACGAAAUAAGAUGAACUGUGGAUGAGACAUAAUAGAGAAACUCUGGAUUGGGAGAUUUCGCAGCCAAAAGCUGAUAUAGUUCUGCUGUGAGGUCAUGUGAGGAAGGAUUAUCAUGUCUGUGCAUAUAAGCCCAUCAAACCAUUUGUAUUUUAAUACAUAAGAGAUGAAAAAAAGAAGUGUAAAAUUUGCCGUGUGCUGCAUGCUUAAUUUGUAUUAUCUGGAAAUCUUAAAAGGAAAAACAGACCACCCCCCUGGAAAAUAUGGACCAUUUGAUAUUGAAAGCUGGGAAGCUCCAAGUAACAAAAGCCCACAGCUUCAUGUUUACAUUUAAGUGCUUUUCUAGUUUUAGCAAAGUUGGUGCUUUAGUCUUAUGUUUGGAAGCAAGAGGAGUCUGAGCAAGGUGAAUACAUGUCAGUUCUGAAUCCUUGGAAGUUUCUUCUAGAUUAUUGAAACAGUGUCUGUUUGUUGACAUAGAAUUAUUUACAGGAACAAUAACAAUAAUGAAAAACUAACUGGAAAAAAAAUUGCAAAACAAAACGUUUUCUGAUUAUCUCAUUUGCAAACAAUAAAGGCCAGCAGCAUCCUAGACCCUUGUCA